UACGAAGGGGGCUAGCGUUGUUCGGAAUUACUGGGCGUAAAGCGCACGUAGGCGGCGUAGCAAGUUAGAUGUGAAAUGCCUGGGCUUAACCUAGGAACUGCAUUUAAGACUGCUAUGCUAGAGACCGGGAGAGGGUGGCGGAAUUCCCAGUGUAGAGGUGAAAUUCGUAGAUAUUGGGAAGAACACCGGUUGCGAAGGCGGCCACCUGGACCGGCACUGACGCUGAGGUGCGAAAGCGUGGGGAGCAAACAGG
rnacentral:rRNA from 1 species